AACGAACGCUGGCGGCGUGGCUAAGGCAUGCAAGUCGAGCGGAUCUACCUUGAGGGUAACUGAAGGGUAGGUUAGCGGCGGACGGGUGAGGAAUAUGUGGAUAACGUACCCUGGACACGGGGAUAGCGGCGGGGGCAACCCCUAGCGAAAGCGCCGGUAAUACCCGAUGACCUCGUGGAAUCGCAUGGUUUUGCGAGCAAAAGCUCCGACGGUCUGGGAUCGGUUCACAUCCUAUCAGCUAGUUGGCGGGGUAACGGCCCACCAAGGCAUCGACGGGUACCGGGUGUGAGAGCAGUGGCCCGGCACAUCGGAACUGAGACGACGGGUCCGGACACCGUACGGGUGGCUGCAGCAAACGAAUAUUCCGCAAUGGACGCAAGUCUGACGGAGCGACGCCGCGUGU
rnacentral:rRNA from 1 species